CCGCCGGUGGCGUAGUGGUUAUCGCGCCAGACCGGUAUUCUGGAGGUCGUGGGUUCAGAUCCCACCUUGUGGG
rnacentral:tRNA from 1 species